ACACGAGUGGCGAACGGGUGAGUAACACGUGAGUAACCUGCCCCUGACUCUGGGAUAACAGUUGGAAACAGCUGCUAAUACUGGAUAUGAAUCUGCCGCGCAUGUGGUGGGUUGGAAAGAUUUUUUGGUCAGGGAUGGGCUCGCGGCCUAUCAGCUUGUUGGUGGGGUGAUGGCCUACCAAGGCGUCGACGGGUAGCCGGCCUGAGAGGGCGACCGGCCACACUGGGACUGAGAUACGGCCCAGACUCCUACGGGAGGCAGCAGUGGGGAAUAUUGCGCAAUGGGCGGAAGCCUGACGCAGCAACGCCGCGUGCGGGAUGACGGCCUUCGGGUUGUAAACCGCUUUCAGCAGGGACGAAGCUUUUGUGACGGUACCUGCAGAAGAAGCACCGGCCAACUACGUGCCAGCAGCCGCGGUGAUACGUAGGGUGCGAGCGUUGUCCGGAAUUAUUGGGCGUAAAGAGCUCGUAGGCGGUUGAUUGCGUCGGAAGUGAAAUCUCAGGGCUUAACUCUGAGUCUGCUUCCGAUACGGGUUGACUAGAGGAAGUUAGGGGAGAACGGAAUUCCUGGUGGAGCGGUGGAAUGCGCAGAUAUCAGGAGGAACACCGAUGGCGAAGGCAGUUCUCUGGGACUUUCCUGACGCUGAGGAGCGAAAGCGUGGGGAGCAAACAGGCUUAGAUACCCUGGUAGUCCACGCCGUAAACGGUGGGUACUAGGUGUGGGGGACAUUCCACGUUCUCCGUGCCGUAGCUAACGCAUUAAGUACCCCGCCUGGGGAGUACGGCCGCAAGGCUAAAACUCAAAGGAAUUGACGGGGCCCCGCACAAGCGGCGGAGCAUGCGGAUUAAUUCGAUGCAACGCGAAGAACCUUACCUGGGUUUGACAUAUGCCGGAAACAUCCAGAGAUGGGUGCCCCUUUUUGGUCGGUAUACAGGUGGUGCAUGGCUGUCGUCAGCUCGUGUCGUGAGAUGUUGGGUUAAGUCCCGCAACGAGCGCAACCCUCGUCCAAUGUUGCCAGCGGGUAAUGCCGGGGACUCAUUGGAGACCGCCGGGGUCAACUCGGAGGAAGGUGGGGAUGAGGUCAAGUCAUCAUGCCCCUUAUGUCCAGGGCUUCACGCAUGCUACAAUGGCCGGUACAAAGGGCUGCGAGCCUGUAAGGGUGAGCGAAUCCCAAAAAGCCGGUCUCAGUUCGGAUUGGGGUCUGCAACUCGA
rnacentral:rRNA from 1 species